GGGGGCUCCGGGCCGGAGGUGAGGGGCGGGGGCGGCGCUGGGCGAGCGCGCGGGGGAGGGGGCCAGGGCAGGCGGGGAGGAGCCGGCGGGGCGGGCACUGGGGCGAUUCGCCAAUCGGGGCAGACUCGGGUUCGUCCGGACUCUGGACCUGGGCCGGCAGGGGCUGAGGCGCUGCUCCUCGCCCUGCGCGGACUUUGGAAUUGGCUCGGGGACGGCCGCGGGCCGCAGCAGGAGCGCGUUUCCGAGGGACGCCGAGACCCCGACCCCGCCGAACCCCGAGGAUGCGCGCUCUUCCAGCCCUGGACGCGCCCGCCAGCCAGCGGCUCCUGCCCCGGGACCCCAAGGCACCCCGGGCCCCAGACGACGCGGCGGGACCGGCGCGCAGGAGCGCCGUGGAGAGGCUGGCCGCCGACCGCGCCAAGUACGUGCGGGGCCUGCCCGGGGUCGGCCCGCGCCCCGCUUCCGAGGGCGGCAGCUCCGGGGCGAGCGGAGGGCAGGUGGGCGACCCUCGGGCCCCGGCCCGCGUUCCCGGUCCGGUGGCGCGCAGAGCCAUUGCGCGGAAGCCGUUGCGGCCUGACUCGCUGGUCAUCUACCGGCAGAAAUGCGAGUUCGUCCGUGCGCCGGGCGCCGACAGCUCCCGAGCGGGGCUGGUGAGGAAGCUCUUUCAGGGGCCGGGCAGGGACAAGACGCCUGUGCCUCCUGAGACGUCCCAGGGGGCAGAAGAGGGCAGGGCCAGGGCCGAGGAGGCCGCCCGGACCAAGCCCAGCCCCGUGGAGGCCCCCGCGGCCCGGGCCCCCGCCACGCCCGUCGGGGCGCCCCCCGGAGUCCCGGCCGGGGCGCGGGGUGCGGGGCUUCCGGGGCUGAGGCGCGGGGCGCUGCAACGCUCGCAGUCGGACCUCAGCUCCCGCUACUCUGCGUCCCGGGCCGAGUCUGACACCUUCUUCCGCUACUGCGGCCUGGAUCCCGAGGUGGUGGAGGCGCUGGGGCGGGAGAACUUCUCCGCGGCGUCGGACCACGUCGCGCUCAAGGUCCGCAGCGUGAGCGUCGCCACCUCCGACAGCGGCUUCUCCCGGCACAGCAGCGGCGACGAGGGGCUGCAGGAGGAGGAGCUGACGGAGCAGGUGCCCAGCACCACCUCGGUGGUCGAGAGGAAUGCCCGCAUCAUCAAGUGGCUCUACACCUGUAGGAAGGCCAAGGAGGCCUCCGGCCAGGCGCUGCAGGGCCCGGCGUGACUGCGGGCCCGGAGCCCCAGCCCCGAGGUGUGCGUGCGGCACCCUGGGAGGGGAGGCUGUGCGUGCGUGUCUGUGAGGCUGGUGGCGGACUGAGUCACCUGUCUUCUGAGCACUCGCUCAAAGAAGGGAGACGACGUCACAGAGAGCCCGGCCCGUGUUCUGUGCGUCAUCAGCAUCACCGCACUGUGAGAUUUACGUCACAGAUUUACUCCCCCAGAGGCAAACACGGCUCGGUGCUUGGAAACGUCACCCCAGGGGACCCACAGCCUGGCCUUUGGAGGACUGUGAGGAGGAAAUGAUUCUCCUGGGCUUUCUCCACUCACUGGGCCCGGGGGAUGUCUGCUUGUGACCACGGCCCCUCAGUUCGCCGCCUCCAGACACCGCGUCUUCUCUGCGGAGGAGCCAGCAGAGAGCGAGACUCAGACGCAGAUUCCGCCUUCCUCUGUGAGGCUCGUCUGGCGGCUGGACCGGAAGGCGCUGACCUUCCUCACAGGGUCACUUGUAUGAGGCUAAUUCCAUAACAUAGGGAAGCGGUGGAAGCAAGAAUGCAGGCUGCCACUUUCUCUAGUUUCUCAGGACUUUUUUGUUGGAAUCCAUAUAGAUUCAUUUUAGGAUUUCACGAAAAAUUCAGAAAAUUGGAGAUGAACAAAGAUAUGCUUUCUAAGCGAAAAAGAAAAAUAUAUUUCAUAUGGAAGUUUUUGUCCCCUUGGUAAAUAGAGACAUUAUAACUUAAAAUGAAAAUAUUCCACCCAGAAUUAAAUAGAAAGUUCAUAAAUUUAUUACCCCAUGGAGUAAAAAUAUUUUCACAGUUGAGAAUAUCAGAGCUGGAGAGUGACUCACGGACUCUGUGCAAAUCCCACUGGGGACCCCUGAGUGGUAGACACACUCGGGUCGUUGUGGUUGCCGUUUCCCAGCCUGUAAUUCAUGAAAAUUACUCUUUCAUCCACUGGUAUUUAGUCAUCUUCCUGUCCUUCAAUUCAAUAAAAUGGCAGGCCUACCGAGAUUUAGUUCUCUCUGGUUUUCUGUCUUUUGCAUGGCGUAUGUGUUACUGAUUUUAAUAUUGUUAUCAAAGAAUGGUAGUUUUUCCUUUGGAUUAACUAGGGAUAAACAUUGUUCAAUUUCAAGGCAAAAAUAUCAGGGGCCGGCUGGUGGCAUAGUGGUUAAGUUCAGUGCCCUCUGCUUCUGCGGCCCAGGCUUGUGGGUUCAGAUCCCUGGGUGCCGACCUACACACCACUCAUCAAGCCAUGCUGUGGUGGCAUCCUGCAUAUGAAAUAGAGGAACGAUGGCACAGAUGUUAGGUCGGGGCUAAUCUUCCUCAAGCAAAAGAAAGACAAAAAUGAGAUAUUCCACAGCUCUCCGCACAUCUCUCUUUGGCAACAGAGGAGCGCCUGUGGCAACCGGCCCCCUGAAGCUGGUGGGAUAGAACUAGUCUCAUCAUGUGCGGAGAUGCCGAGGGGGAUGGAGCAAAUGCGCUUCCGCACCUUCUUUUCUGACCAGCUGCGAAGCUCCCCGUGUUAGGUGAACAAGUGGCUCCAGUAGCCUAGGGCCACCCCCUCUGCCUUCAGGCCAGCUCAGGGCCUUUUAGAGAGGUUUGUGUCUGAGAAGGGGGAAUCUGCCAUUGAAUGUUCAUUUAGAUUGCUGGCGUUGUUUUCUCUUUUGUUGUCCAGCUCUGAUAGCUGGCACUGGACUUACCAACAUUCAGAAAGAGCCUCUUUACUCCUAUGAGUAGUUGGAGGCACCCAGAAAUUUCCAAAGUCCAGAAAAAGGCCUGCAUGGCGAUGGAUAUUUGUUCUGCCAAAGAAACCAGAUGAUAGCUGUCUUUCCUAAGGCUACUUUGUUUCAAAAUUUAAAAUGCAACAAGGAGAUGUUUUAAAUGGGGAAAAUAUCACAAAACUAAAGACUGCAGGGGCCAGACUUUGUAGGAUGAUGUGUGGCUUUGUAACUUCGUCUAGACUGGUGUUGAGUCACUACUUUUUCUUACUCCCCAGGAAGCAAGCCUUCCCAAUAAUGGGGGCUCCUUGAAGAGUGUCGUGGAUGAUUUGGAACCCCAAGGCCAUCCUCACUGCCACAGGCUUUGUCUAGUGCACACAAGUGACCACAUGGUUGUUGUUUUCCUAGGAAUAAAGCACCCCAUUGAAGAAACGUAAGUAAUUGCAGAAGGGUUGAAAUGCCGUGGAGAAGAUGGCAACACAGAACUUGGAGAUUAGCUGAGUUACAACUGUUAGGACACGGCUGAGGCUCUGGAGAUGUUUUCUUGCUCAGGUGGACCUGUCCUUCCGGGGGCAGCAGAAGAGAGGAGAGCUGCUUGGAAACAUUUUCAGGGGCAUCUUUUUGACUGGCUUUCUGACAAAGAGGUACCGUGAUGCAUUUAAGUGAUGUCACAUUGAUUUUAAAAAGAGAAAAAAGCAACGAUCAUGACAACCAAGCGUGAACACCAUGGUAUUCACUGCUUUCAUUCAUCUUGGACAGAUUGGCACUGUUGAAAUCAAAGUGCCAUAAUCACAAGAAGGUCCCUUCUACUUGAAUACUAUGGCUAACAAGAGUAAACACACACUUACACAUGGACCCUCAACACAGACCUGCUGUGCUUGGCAUCCCUGGGCCUUAAACCACAGAGAGCUCCCAAACUGGGUGGCUGGUCAUCUUGCCUGAUGAGUCAGAAAGCACUUUUAAAGUUGCUUGAGGGCUACAAGGUCAUUCUAUUAAUGCUACUCCCGUUGGGUUGUAGACAUAUGGAAGUACAUUCCAAAAUAAGUUAGAGUUGAAAUACUGCUAAAAUACCUUUUCUCAGACCUGGACUAUUUCUUGAGAAUUGGCGGAAGAAUCUUGGAGCUUCCUUUCAUUAGAUCAAUAGCAGAAUUCCUCUUUUGCAGCACCAUUUAGAGUGUGCCUCCACAGUUCUCUUGUUCCCAGCUUCCAGAAGGAGAAGAAAACGUCGGUUUAUACAGAAUGUGGACGCGUGAAACAGAACACGCCUGCCCUUUGGUCUGGUUCCCACCUCCACGUAUGACACGGUCAUCUCAAACUGGCAAUAGUUCACCCUUCUCUGCAAAGGGUCUUUUUGAGACAAGGGGCAGUCUCUGGGUGGCCGGGCAUCAUGAAGAUCAGAAUCUUGUUGGUGAGGAGCUACUUAUUCAGAACGGGCUCUCGUGACACCCGGAGGCCACAGGUUUCAGACUCAGAACCUUCUGAGAGAAAUUUUAUGUCAGUGAUGGCACUCAAAGUAAAUUUUCACCCAGUCACCUCUUUCAAAGUCUACCAUAUUUUAUCAAAAUACAUCCUUUCAAGAACAAAAUUAUUAAAGAAUAUGGAGGGGAGGGAAAUGAGUUUUUCAAUGGUAAAUAUUUUAUAAAUCAAUCCAUUUUGAUAUAUUCAUGUAUUUGUUUAAUAGUGUAUUCUAUUUUUGUAACUUUUACUGUGACAGUAGGUCUUUGAGUUACUUAAAUAUUUAUUUUUACACAGUUAUUGAUCUUCAAAUAGUUUUCCUUCGCUUCAUAUGGUUUCAGUUUUUAUUGUAUAAUUUUGAAUCAUUUUCUCAUUGGCUGUCAUUUUGUAUAUGUUGUUUAAUUGAAUUUUCAACUUUUGGCUGUAAGUGUCCUCUGCUCUAUGAAGCAUUCGAUGCCAUAGUGAUUUGUUUUCAGAUUAGCCCCAGAUACAAAUUUUGGAGGCUCUGUUAGCAGACAAAUGUACUUUUCUCAAUGUAGACUCUAUUUAAAGACAGCAUAUUCCCCGCUUUCAGGAUUUUUCUCUAGUUCUCCCUCUAAAAAUGCUGCUAUUUUGCUGUUCACUGGAUUGCACUUACUUUAAAAAGAUAUUGUCAAAGAUGAGACUUUUUUUUUAAAAGGAUCUUUUCAUAUACCCAGUUCCCUUAUUUGCAGUUGUUGCAUUAAGUUUCUGUGUGAAUGCUUUAGGUGAAAUUGUUUUGUGCUUUUCUACUGUCAGAACAGGAUGAACUGAGACCUAGGUCAGAUUUAUCUUAGAUCCAAAUGGUGCAGACUUGCCAUCCAUACAGCAGAUGAAAAAUAUAAAAACAUAUUGGUUGCUGCUGAAAAGCACCAAGGUCUGCCAGAAGGGUGUGCACGUCAGUGGACGUACCAAGAGAGGAGAGAGUUCAGGUGGAGCGAAUGCUGGAAGUCAGUGUCAGAGGCGGGUGUGAAGAACAGGAAUGGGGUGUCCCCAGAUGCUCUCCCUCCCCUCGAUUCAGAUUCUCGCCUCAGCAUCAGGGCCCCAGUGUGUGGUUGGACGCACAAGUCCUCUCCUAACCCUGAGUUACCCCAAAUUGCCUAGUGACCCUGGGCAACCAAACUUUGUAGCUCAAUCUGAAUGACAAAGUUUGCAACUGCUUUUCACGAGGAUGAGCAGUAGUUACUACUGCAAAAUGGUUUUGUUUAUGAAAGAGCCGAACAUAAAAUAACGUGAUUAAAUGCAGUGGAAGGAAAAAUUAUUGAUAACCCAGGGAAAAUAGCUUGACAGUAUCUAUUCCACUAACAUAUGGUACAGAUUUGCAAUGCCUCAGACUGCAGGGUGUUUAUGUAACUGGAAGUUUCCUCAUUAUAUACAUGUGUGUAUGGUCUUUAAACCGCUGUCCGUGACACUGGACUAGAAGGAAAGCUGCUUUAAACUUUGCCCUUUUCAGUGGUUGAAAGUUCGUGCGACCUUGCCGUGGUUAUCGUUGGUGACGCCGUAAAACAUCAGGCCCAGACAGUGGUUACGGCAGUUUCUAAAUAUAGUUUUCUCUACCCAGUGCUUACAGCUGGAGUGCAAUAUUGUGUAUUCUGUACUAAAGAAAUAAAGCAUUUUUAUCAUUUGUUAAUACUAAUUUA